rnacentral:misc_RNA from 1 species
UUGCAUUGCUUCUAAAAAAAGGAACAAUAACACUAAAAAUUAUAAAUAAAUAUAAAUUUAGUUGAAAACGCAAAAUACUCAAAACUAAAAUAGGAAGAUGCGUCAACUUUGAUUUGCUAUUGUUUAGAACUUUAGGCUUUGAUUUCAUGGUGAAGCUGACUUCCACGAUUGGCUUUGUUAAGAAGAAAGAAAACCCCCUUCAUCACCAUUUGGAAAGUAGACCAAAAAAAUCAACUUGAAAAAGAAGAUGAGCACUCGUGAUUUUAAAGAAAGAAAUGAGUUGAAUUCUUGAUGGAGAUGAUGAGCCAAGGCUUGGGAUGGAGAUGAUAAGCAUUGAGCAAACAAGUUUCAGAAGGAGAAAUGACAAGAGGGAG